rnacentral:rRNA from 1 species
AUGAGUUGUAUCAGUUGGAACUGCCGGUGGCUUGGGAACCCCGAGGCAGUUCGAGAGCUUCUCAGCAUUGUGAAGUUGGAAGGUCCCACUCUCCUAUUCGUCAUGGAAACAAAAAUCAAAGGGAAGAGAGCUGAAGCUUUGCAAAAUCAGUUAGGUUUUGGUGGAUGUUUUGCUGUUGAUAGCAUUGGCCUAAGUGGUGGCUUAGGUUUGUUUUGGUCUAAAGAUGUACUUGUCGAUUUGAAGAAUUUUAGUUCUACUCACAUAGAUGUGAGGGUGAAAUACAAGGACCAAGACUCUUUUGAGUGGCGGUUUACUAGUUUUUACGGAGCGCCCAGAGUUGAGGAUUGA